rnacentral:rRNA from 1 species
GACGAACGCUGGCGGCGUGCUUAACACAUGCAAGUCGAGCGGUAAGGCCCUUUCGGGGGUACGACGAGCGGCGAACGGGUGAGUAACACGUGGGUGACCUGCCCUCAGCUCUGGGAUAAGCCUGGGAAACCGGGUCUAAUACUGGAUAUGACUCCAUGACGCAUGUUGUGGGGUGGAAAGCCUUGUGCGGCUGAGGAUGGGCCCGCGGCCUAUCAGCUUGUUGGUGGGGGAUGGCCUACCAAGGCGACGACGGGUAGCCGGCCUGAGAGGGCGACCGGGCCACACUGGGACUGAGACACGGCCCAGACUCCUACGGGAGGCAGCAGUGGGGAAUCUUGCGCAAUGGGCGAAAGCCUGACGCAGCGACGCCGCGUGAGGGAUGACGGCCU